CCCCAUAGAAAAACAACCUAUAUGAAUUAAUUCAAACAAAUAUGUUUAACAAGUAUUUAGAAAAAUCCACAUCUUAAACACACCGAAAGGGAAUUAUUUAUUAUGCUAAAAGUAUUUCAAGUACCUUUUGCAUCAUGGUUUAUAGAAAACUUAUUUUAUAUAUUAAUUCCCGAAUUAAAAGGAUCUAAGUUAAUAUAACACUUAGAAUUUCACAUCUACAUACAAUAUUAACUUAGAGGUUAAAAGCCAUUCGACUUUUAUUAUAUCUGGUUCUUUUGGAAAUAAAUUUAAUUUAAGCAUUAACCCAUACUACUCUUUGAUAAAUUAUGAAUAAAUGCCAAAUCUUUAAAAUUAAGUUUUAAGGAAAGUCAAAUUACUUUGCAUAAGAUAUUUUAUAUCCUUUUAUACAAAUUUAUAAUCAAUUGACUAUUCACAAAAGAACCCUCUCCAUUCUCUUUAGGGGGACUAUUAUUAUAAAAUAAGUAUGAUUAUUUAAUUAAUUUUUAGGAACUCGGCAAACCCAAAUUCUGACUGUUUAUCAAAAACAUAGCCUCUUGAAAAAUUUAAGAGGUACUUUCUGCUCACUGACAAAUAAAGAGCCGCAGUAAAUUGACUGUGCAAAGGUAGCGCAAUAAUUAGUACUUUAAUUAAGUACAUGCAUGAAUGAAUGAACAAGAAUUUAACUUUCUUAAAAUUACCCUCAAAAAUUAAACUUUAAGUGUAAAUGCUUAAAUAUAGGUGAUAGACGAGAAGACCCUAUAGACCUUUACUCACGUAGGUAUUAUAUAUUUAUAUAUAACGGAUGAGUUUUGUUGGGGAAACAAAGAGACACAAAAAAUUCUCUUCUAAAUAAAUUAUUAAUUUGAAGAAAACAGACCUAUAUUUUUAAUCAUGAGAACAAGGUACCUUAGGGAUAACAGCACAAUAAAGAGCUAGAAGAUCAAAUUUUAGCUUAUGUUUGUGACCUCGAUGUUGAAUUAAGAUUCCAAUAGAAAGAAAAAAUUCUUAAAGUUAGUCUGUUCGACUAUUAAAAUCUUACAUGAUUUGAGUUCAGACCGACGUGAGUCAGGUCAGUUUCUAUCUUCACUCUGCCCCUUUAAGAUUGUACGAAAGGACCUCUAUAGAGCCUCUAAGAGUAAUACUUGUCU
rnacentral:rRNA from 1 species